rnacentral:rRNA from 1 species
AUUGAACGCUGGCGGCAUGCUUUACACAUGCAAGUCGAACGGCAGCGCGGGCUUCGGCCUGGCGGCGCGUGGCGAACGGGUGAGUAAUGCAUCGGAACGUGCCCAGUUGUGGGGGAUAGCCCGGCGAAAGCCGGAUUAAUACCGCAUACUACCUGAGGGUGAAAGCGGGGGGCCGAAAGGCCUCGCGCUAUUGUAGCGGCCGACGUCGGAUUAGCUAGUUGGUGGGGUAAAGGCUUACCAAGGCGACGAUCCGUAGCUGGUCUGAGAGGACGACCAGCCACACUGGGACUGAGACACGGCCCAGACUCCUACGGGAGGCAGCAGUGGGGAAUUUUGGACAAUGGGGGCAACCAUGGUCCAGCCAUGCCGAGUGCGGGAAGAAGGCCUUCGGGUUGUAAACCGCUUUUGUUCGGGAAGAAAUCCUCUGGGCUAAUACCCCGGGGGGAUGACGGUACCAGAAGAAUAAGCACCGGCUAACUACGUG